GUUUUAGUUUGCUUUUAGUUUCUCACUGUUCUGUUCUGCUAGUGAUAGGCAGUAAAUUCUGUUAUUCUCCCUAUGCUGAGUCUGUUUUGCCUGUGAUAGUAUUUGGUGAGUGAUCUCCCAGACCUUAUCUCAACCCUUAAGCCCUUUCCAUUGUAUUUUCUCAACCUUUGCCUCUGAGGGAGGGGAGUGAGAGAGUGGUUUUGGUGCAGUUUACGUGCCCAGCAGGGUAAAACUACCAAAACAGGAACAGUUCAGGAAUACUGGUUUUGAAGGUAUGAAUUUUUGCAGGUGAAUGAAAAUAUGUAUAAGGAAUCAAAGAAAACGUUGAUGAGUAAAUUCAGGAACUGAUUGUGGAAAUUUCUGGGAUAUAAACACUUCUGAGAGUGUUUGCUUGUUUGCUUUAUUAAGAAUCCAUGAAAACCUGACAUUUAUUUCCCACUGUCACACUCUUUGCUCUGUCAUUGUCUUUUAGAGAUGUAUUGAUAAGAAGCUGUAACAUCUUUAAAAAUGCUGUUCAGCUCCUUCAUUAAAUAUUGUGUGCUACUAUCUUUCUGCUUAAGGAAAAAAACGUACACCCAUUAAAAGCAUUCAGCAAUUCCAGCUAAAAUAAGAAAUGUUUUGUGGAGCCGUAUUAAGUGGCUUAUAACAAAUCUAGUUAUCAGCCAGCUUCUCAGAAGCAGAUUGGCUAUUACAGGUGACAAAAGAACUAAAAUUGAAAUACUUAUCAUACUCUUGGCACGGAGGUUUCAGCAAGAAGACUGACUGUAACUAUGCGGCCUUAUUUUCCAGAUGGAGGCUGGCUGUGCCUAACAGUGCUCUGGGAAGAAGUGAGGUGGAUUCUACAUCCAAACUGUGCACCCUUCGAUCGGCUAGGCUGUUAGUCCUCCUUUCAUCUGGCAACAGGACCAUGAAGUGACAUUGCUACCCGAGCCUGAGAUUUCCCACACAAUUGCACCAUUGCUCUCCAGCACACUAAUGUAAAACUGGGAGCAGGAAAAAACACUUUUGAAACAGAAGGAGAAACGAUGAUGUAGAACAAGCUUGCUGCUACCCUGCAGCCUAUUUAAUUAACAGAAUCGAUCACUUCUUGGAAAGGAUGGAGUGAUUUGAUAGAAUUCAUGGAGAAAACACCUCCUUUUCAGGGUAAGGAUAGUUCCUUUCUGACACCCC
rnacentral:lncRNA from 1 species